GGAAUCCUUUGUUUUGUAUUGAGCUCAAAGCCAACCUUUGUGUAAUGACUUAUUUUCCUCAGAGCUGAAAUGCUGGCCCUGUGAAAGUAAUGAGAAGCACAGUGGAGAUAACUUUCUGAAGGGUGGAAGAGGCUGGAGCCUGUCUAGUGGGAGAAGGUUCCCAGGCACGUGAGAGGCCCAGAAACAGAUUGAGCAGCGGCAAGUGUUAGUGGUUAAGUGCCCAGAUACCUAAGUUUUAAGACCAUUUGAAGCUCAGCUCUGCAACGUAUGAUUCCCAUGAUCCGGGGAAGGAUGAAAUAAUCUCUCCGUACUUCAUCUGUAAAUGCAGAUAAAAAUCGUCCAUACCUGACAGAGGACUCAAUG